AUGAACGCCGGCGGUGUGCCUAAUACAUGCAAGUCGAACGCGUUGGUCCAAUUGAUUGAUGGUGCUUGCACCUGAUUGAUUUUGGUCGCCAACGAGUGGCGGACGGGUGAGUAACACGUAGGUAACCUGCCCAGAAGCGGGGGACAACAUUUGGAAACAGAUGCUAAUACCGCAUAACAGCGUUGUUCGCAUGAACAACGCUUAAAAGAUGGCUUCUCGCUAUCACUUCUGGAUGGACCUGCGGUGCAUUAGCUUGUUGGUGGGGUAAUGGCCUACCAAGGCGAUGAUGCAUAGCCGAGUUGAGAGACUGAUCGGCCACAAUGGGACUGAGACACGGCCCAUACUCCUACGGGAGGCAGCAGUAGGGAAUCUUCCACAAUGGGCGCAAGCCUGAUGGAGCAACACCGCGUGAGUGAAGAAGGGUUUCGGCUCGUAAAGCUCUGUUGUUAAAGAAGAACACGUAUGAGAGUAACUGUUCAUACGUUGACGGUAUUUAACCAGAAAGUCACGGCUAACUACGUGCCAGCAGCCGCGGUAAUACGUAGGUGGCAAGCGUUAUCCGGAUUUAUUGGGCGUAAAGAGAGUGCAGGCGGUUUUCUAAGUCUGAUGUGAAAGCCUUCGGCUUAACCGGAGAAGUGCAUCGGAAACUGGAUAACUUGAGUGCAGAAGAGGGUAGUGGAACUCCAUGUGUAGCGGUGGAAUGCGUAGAUAUAUGGAAGAACACCAGUGGCGAAGGCGGCUACCUGGUCUGCAACUGACGCUGAGACUCGAAAGCAUGGGUAGCGAACAGGAUUAGAUACCCUGGUAGUCCAUGCCGUAAACGAUGAGUGCUAGGUGUUGGAGGGUUUCCGCCCUUCAGUGCCGGAGCUAACGCAUUAAGCACUCCGCCUGGGGAGUACGACCGCAAGGUUGAAACUCAAAGGAAUUGACGGGGGCCCGCACAAGCGGUGGAGCAUGUGGUUUAAUUCGAAGCUACGCGAAGAACCUUACCAGGUCUUGACAUCUUGCGCCAACCCUAGAGAUAGGGCGUUUCCUUCGGGAACGCAAUGACAGGUGGUGCAUGGUCGUCGUCAGCUCGUGUCGUGAGAUGUUGGGUUAAGUCCCGCAACGAGCGCAACCCUUGUUACUAGUUGCCAGCAUUAAGUUGGGCACUCUAGUGAGACUGCCGGUGACAAACCGGAGGAAGGUGGGGACGACGUCAGAUCAUCAUGCCCCUUAUGACCUGGGCUACACACGUGCUACAAUGGACGGUACAACGAGUCGCGAACUCGCGAGGGCAAGCAAAUCUCUUAAAACCGUUCUCAGUUCGGACUGCAGGCUGCAACUCGCCUGCACGAAGUCGGAAUCGCUAGUAAUCGCGGAUCAGCAUGCCGCGGUGAAUACGUUCCCGGGCCUUGUACACACCGCCCGUCACACCAUGAGAGUUUGUAACACCCAAAGUCGGUGGGGUAACCUUUUAGGAGCCAGCCGCCUAAGGUGGGACAGAUGAUUAGGGUG
rnacentral:rRNA from 1 species